UUGAAUUAAAGAGAAAAGGAGAAGUCACUUUCUUCAUACAUUAAAAUCAAAACUCAAAUAAAAACCUCUCAUAAAAUUCAUAUCUCUCAUUCUUUCUCUUAUCUCUCAUCAAGAUAAACAAAAACAAAAUGUUAAAAAACUCAAAAAAACAGAAAAUCAAAACAGUGGAGAGAAUAUGAACACGCGGCGGUGGUGAUGAACUCACGGCAGCUCAGCCAAGGCUUCACGGCGGCCGGAAGGAAAAAAAACCAGAAACGUGAAAUAAUUGCAUCGUUCAACUCGGUUUUUCUUCCUCGUUACAAAUAUCAGCACUAUCAGUGCAAGAGUCACGAAAAUAAAGAGGAAAUCGGGUUCAGAAGAUGGAGAACAACCUUUUAGUGUCAAGAACUUAAAGAACGACGGAGGUUAUGGAUUCCGGUGUGGUGGUUUUGUGUUUCCGGCGGUGGUUUUGUGUUUCCGACGGUGGUUUUGUGUUUCCGACGGUGGUUUCCGGUCAGGUGAGUUUUUUGUGAUUUUUUUUUCUAAGUUUGUUCUGAAAAGUUCUGAGCAAAAAGUCCCUUGUGUCAGUCUCAAUCACUCUUUAUAUAGUGUAAAAAUUAGGUUCAGAGUGAGAGUGAAUUUGGGCUGAAGUUGUGAUGAAUUUGAACCGAGAAUCUGUGGAAACAAAAAUCUGAUUUUGCUCUCUGCAGCCCAAACCGUAAAUCAUAUGUUAUUCCCAUUCUAUCCUUUGUUUUUUAGUCCGAAUCUUCUUUACACUCUCUUGGCAAUGUUCUUGCGGUUUCUAAAAAGGGCAAUGGGCCUAAGGAUUUGAAUUUUUACUUGUUGGUGUGAAUAAAUGUUACUACAGCCACCUCACCUUGUACCGUUAUCCUUUUGAAUGCUUGCGAUACUUUUGAUUUUGACUUGAACAAUUGUUUUUGUGAUUUGGAUAACAUUGAUAAUUAUUUCUCCAUUUCCUUUUCAUGUGUAUGAUGACGUGGGCGAACAUGGAGAAUUAGAACAACGAAGAUGAACAUGAACGAAAACCAAUGAUGAAGCUUGAAAGUUGAUCAGUCACACCCAUGGAGAGCUUGUGAAGUGAUUCAAGAAAAUGACUUUGUAACAUGGAUGUAAUUUGAAAUUGUACAUAGAACUUGAAUUCUUCAUGUUUGACAACUUGUUGAAACACUUGUUAUUUUUUGAAUACCAAACGAACCUUUCGUA